ensembl:lncRNA
GUAAGGGUUGGCAGUGGAGGUGAGGAUAUCUUGUUGGAGAUCCCUACCUACCUGAGGCAUUCCAAAGGAGUUCUUUCGUUAAAGAGUACUUUCUGAAACACAUAUCCAGAACACUGAAUAUUUUCCUGCUGCUAAGCACAACUAGCUGUAGUCUUCUAAAUCAUCUACCCUUCUACAGAAUUUUCCAGUUUUCUUCUGAACAUGCCAUCUGGACAUGGAGAGACUGGAUCAGGAAAGUGAAGGCACAGCUGGAAUGGAACUUGGCAAGGGAUAUGGAAGUUAACAAGACUCUACGGAUACUAUGAUCAGAAGAGACAGAUCAAGGAGAGUCUACCCCUUCACAUAAAUUAAAAGUAAGAACUAGCUACAACAAACAUGGAGAAGGCUGACAUUAUCAAGUUCCUUGCCUCAGUCUUCACUGGCAGUCAAAUUUCUCACAUCUCUCAUAUCCCCGAACCUCUAGGCAGAGGUCGGGAUAGCAAAAUUUCCUCCGCUGUAAAUUCAAAACUACCUUAUGGGGCUAAAUGUAUAGAAGUCUAUGGGGCUGGAUGACAUGCAUUCCAGGGUCCAGAAGGAAAUGAGUGAUGUGGUUGCCAAGCCACGCACCAUCAUAUCUGAAAGGUCAUGGUUGUCAUGUGAAGUCCUCAGUGACUGGAGAAAGGAAAACAUCACUCCGAUUUUUAAGAAAGGGAAAAAGGAAGAGUUGGGAAACUACAGGCUGGUGAGCCUCACCUCUGUGCCUGGGAAGUUCAUGGAGCAGGUCCUCCAGGAAGUUAGAUUAAGGUGCAUGCAAGACAAGGAGAUCCAAGAUGGCCAGUACAGCUUCACCAAGGGAAGAUCGUGCCCAACCAGUCCAAUGGCCUUCUGUGAUUGGGUAAAAGUGUCUAGUUCAAGAUCUGAAGGGACUGUGAAAUUGCUUUUCCAAUGGUGAGUGAAAACACAGUCAGACACACGCAGAAAAUAAGACCUUCACAGCCUGUGGCACUACACAGCCCCAAAACAUUAAUAUGAGGGGAAAAUGGCACUAGUGUAAUGUACAGUGAUGAUGAAUAAGACUCAUCAGUGUGAUUUAACCCAAUUUAAUUUGAAUUAUAUUCAUUAGAAGGUAUAUUUAUAUUGUUCGUACUUUCAGCAUUA